rnacentral:rRNA from 1 species
AGAGUUUGAUCCUGGCUCAGGAUGAACGCUAGCUACAGGCUUAACACAUGCAAGUCGAGGGGCAGCAUGGUCUUAGCUUGCUAAGGCCGAUGGCGACCGGCGCACGGGUGAGUAACACGUAUCCAACCUGCCGUCUACUCUUGGACAGCCUUCUGAAAGGAAGAUUAAUACAAGAUGGCAUCAUGAGUCCGCAUGUUCACAUGAUUAAAGGUAUUCCGGUAGACGAUGGGGAUGCGUUCCAUUAGAUAGUAGGCGGGGUAACGGCCCACCUAGUCUUCGAUGGAUAGGGGUUCUGAGAGGAAGGUCCCCCACAUUGGAACUGAGACACGGUCCAAACUCCUACGGGAGGCAGCAGUGAGGAAUAUUGGUCAAUGGGCGAGAGCCUGAACCAGCCAAGUAGCGUGAAGGAUGACUGCCCUAUGGGUUGUAAACUUCUUUUAUAAAGGAAUAAAGUCGGGUAUGGAUACCCGUUUGCAUGUACUUUAUGAAUAAGGAUCGGCUAACUCCGUGCCAGCAGCCGCGGUAAUACGGAGGAUCCGAGCGUUAUCCGGAUUUAUUGGGUUUAAAGGGAGCGUAGAUGGAUGUUUAAGUCAGUUGUGAAAGUUUGCGGCUCAACCGUAAAAUUGCAGUUGAUACUGGAUAUCUUGAGUGCAGUUGAGGCAGGCGGAAUUCGUGGUGUAGCGGUGAAAUGCUUAGAUAUCACGAAGAACUCCGAUUGCGAAGGCAGCCUGCUAAGCUGCAACUGACAUUGAGGCUCGAAAGUGUGGGUAUCAAACAGGAUUAGAUACCCUGGUAGUCCACACGGUAAACGAUGAAUACUCGCUGUUUGCGAUAUACGGCAAGCGGCCAAGCGAAAGCGUUAAGUAUUCCACCUGGGGAGUACGCCGGCAACGGUGAAACUCAAAGGAAUUGACGGGGGCCCGCACAAGCGGAGGAACAUGUGGUUUAAUUCGAUGAUACGCGAGGAACCUUACCCGGGCUUAAAUUGCAGAUGAAUUACGGUGAAAGCCGUAAGCCGCAAGGCAUCUGUGAAGGUGCUGCAUGGUUGUCGUCAGCUCGUGCCGUGAGGUGUCGGCUUAAGUGCCAUAACGAGCGCAACCCUUGUUGUCAGUUACUAACAGGUUCUGCUGAGGACUCUGACAAGACUGCCAUCGUAAGAUGUGAGGAAGGUGGGGAUGACGUCAAAUCAGCACGGCCCUUACGUCCGGGGCUACACACGUGUUACAAUGGGGGGUACAGAGGGCCGCUACCACGCGAGUGGAUGCCAAUCCCCAAAACCUCUCUCAGUUCGGACUGGAGUCUGCAACCCGACUCCACGAAGCUGGAUUCGCUAGUAAUCGCGCAUCAGCCACGGCGCGGUGAAUACGUUCCCGGGCCUUGUACACACCGCCCGUCAAGCCAUGGGAGCCGGGGGUACCUGAAGUGCGUAACCGCGAGGAGCGCCCUAGGGUAAAACUGGUGACUGGGGCUAAGUCGUAACAAGGUAGCCGUACCGGAAGGUGCGGCUG